rnacentral:rRNA from 1 species
UACAGAGGGUGCGAGCGUUAAUCGGAAUUACUGGGCGUAAAGCGCGCGUAGGCGGCUUUGCAAGUCGGGUGUGAAAUCCCCAGGCCUAACCUGGGAACUGCAUUCGAGACUGCAUGGCUAGAGUAUCGGAGAGGGAAGUGGAAUUUCAGGUGUAGCGGUGAAAUGCGCAGAUAUCAGGAGGAACACCAAUUGCGAAGGCAGCUCGCUGGGACGUAACUGACGCUGAGACGCGAAAGCGUGGGGAGCAAACAGG